rnacentral:lncRNA from 1 species
UUUCUCUCUCUAACCCAUGCGACGCGGACGCUCACCGCCAACGGCCACUCCGGUCCCGGCGUCACCCCUCCCACCCGCCGGAGACCAUCCAGGUUCGGCAUCCACACACAUCUCCAGUGUAGCUGUAGAUCUGCAUGGAAGGAUUCGAAUUUGAGGAGGGUCGCGAAGGGGAAGAGGAGUUAGAUCCAGCCCUUCCUCCACUUGCGGUCACUGCCAUUGUGGCUCAGGUCGCAUCUUCGGUGGCGGGGACCUCCCCCCACCCCACCACGCACCACCUCAUCCCCACUGAAUCCCUCGGCCCCCCUAUCAGCGGCAGCUUGAGGGACCGUCAGGGGAGACCCCCGUAUGGUUCAGGUACAGUGCUUCGUCUUCUUCCUCGUUUGAUGGCCACGAUUCGCUGCCAAGGUCGCCCACAGUCGCUCGGCGGAAGGGGAAGGCGGUUGCAAUGGACAUCUCACUGGUGCCUUCAUCUCGUCGAGGUCCUUCCCCUGGUGGCUUCAUGGCUGACGCCCAGAGGGGAGGCAGCUUGGCUCGCCGGUCAAGUUCGUGGCUUCCGCAGGAACAUGAGCGGGUAGCCGCCGCCAUUGCCCGCUCCUCAGGUUGUGGUUUAGAGAUUCUUACCGCCACUCAUGACAGGCCCUUUGGCGAUGGCUGGGUGGAGGUUUGCCACCUUCGGAGCCAGCGUUGGGAACACCCCACUCAGCGCUCCGUUCCCUGAUCGGUCCCUGCUGACCUUGUGGGCCGAUGCUUCAAUUGUCUCGCCACUGACCAUGUCACGGCAGUCUGCAGAAACCCAUCCCGCUAUCUCCGUUGCAGGCGGGAAGGACACAGGUCGCUCACCGCCUCCACCGCAUCGAGCGCCUCCACCGCAUCGAGCUCCGGCUCCGGUGACGACUACAGCUCAGCCUCAACAUUGGACCAGACGGGAACACUCAACGUCUUCUGAUGCUACAAGGUCUGCACAUUCCCAAUCCACGGGACCCUCCUGCUAUCCUCUUGCAAUUCGUGCUCCUCCGUCGCCAAGCCGUGAUGACAUGUCCAUUCCAUCUUCACCGCCAUCGCCAAGACCCUAUGGUGACCUGUCGCGCCGCCCGGCCAAAAAGAUUUGUGUGAUUCCCAGGUCGCAGGCGAUCAAUGAAUGUGAUUUGCGCUUGCCAUCUUGUGCGUUGGUUCUGAUGAUUGGAGGCAAUCGACCAAAGGUGUCCACCCUGCAAGUUGGAAUGGUUCUAGAAGAAUUUCUUAACCUGCUUCCAGAAGAUUACAACAUCCAGUGCUCUAACCCUGAGGACUUUAUGGUGGAAUUCAGCACGCCAACUAGCGUGGAAAGGAUCUUACACUUGCACCUGCCACCAAAAGCUCCAAUUCAACUUAUAUGGAGAAGACGGCGUCGUCAUCCAUGGCGAGAUUGGUAUCCUUGCGCUUCAGAGUUCUAAUUGAAUUAAGAGGAAUUCCCACACAUGCGUGGAAUGUAAACACAGCGUAGACCAUCCUGGGCACUGCUUGUGCUGAACUGGUAGAAGCUCCUGUGCAGAUUGACAGGAGCAACAACAAUGCCAAUCUUUAUGUGGCCUGCUGGUGCAUGCAUCCUGACUUGGUUCCAUGGGAGAAGUUAAUUUUCAUUCCUGAGCCUCCAUCGCCAUACAUUGAAUGUGGUCUAUUUUUGAAGCCCCAUGAACUCAUCCACUCUAAGCAGGAUGGUCUUUGGUACAUAGUACACAUAAAUUGUUGAAGUGCAGGAAUGGAACUUACCCAGUGAUUCAUCUGAUGACGACACUCCACCUGAUAAUUAUAGUAGUUCUGGAGACGAAGAUUACCCAGGUUUCUCGUAGCGCAACAGAAACAACCCUUGGCUAAAGAAAACAAGGUUUGAUAACAAGCAGGGUGGCUCUGGUGGUGGACCCUUGGUCCUGGCUGGGGACCGCCAUUUGCAUCGAUGGCGGUGGUCCCACUAGCAAGGGCCUGGUCCGUAUCCAUGCCAUUGAGGUUUGGUCGCCAUAGACAAGGCAAAGAUCUAACGGGCCACCAGGGCAUGUACCGGUUCCACUGCACCACCAAGUUGUUUUGUAAAAACAACUCGGUGUGUCGUUUAUGAGAAAUGUCAGGAAGACGGGCUGCUUGAUGCAAUGAGGAAGAUGAAGUUCAGUGAGCCCACUAGGGACUUGGCAGUCGACUCGAUAGCAUCGGAGGCAGAUCUUGCUUCCAGAAUCCAUACCUUCACUACAAGCUUUGCAUCUGAACUAAAGACAGCCGCCACAAAUCCUGGAGAUGCUUUUUUACCUGGGUUGCAGCUAAGGGGGUCACCUCGUGCUUUUGCUGAUGAGACUGGAGACGGAACUGAGUCUUUCCCCUGGAGCUGUUACCAUCAUUGGAACUUGACAGUGGGUCAAUCGCUGAACCAGGAUUGAUGUUGGAGGAAAUGGCGGGGUUGCACCACGUGGUUGUUGAACCACCCCUCCAGGCUGAAGCAGAGACAACCGUUGAUAGGUCGCUCCAGCCAUUGAGCCCUCACCACGGCAUCGACCACGGGUCGAUAAAUCUCGAAGUGGUACAUUUCGAAGACGUCCCGUUAGCUGAGUUGCCGCCGUCCCCAACACAUAGCAACUUUGUAACAUUCACCAGAGGCUCCUCUAUUGCCAUCCCACUAUAUUUUCCUCCUGAGGAUUCAACGCCUGUAAAGAAUGUCACAACUGACUUCGCGCAUUCUGUCUGCAAGGCGGGGUCACCGGUCGCGCUUCAGUCAGCUCUACUGAGGAGAAAAGCACGCACACCACCAACGACAACUUUGGCAAUUAGAAGAAGCGAGAGGCUCGCCAAGAAGUCAUGUUACCAGGCCACCAAGCCAACACUACAAGCACAGAAUGUGCUAAUGAAAAAACUGGGCAUUUCUUCCAGGACCGGGCCACUGGAUGCCGCGGCCUUCACGCGCUUCCUGGAGGUCUUCACUGCCACUCUCUCGGUCUCCUAAUGUGAAGCACUUGACGAACUGAUCCCAGAUGGUGGGCCGCUUUUCACAGCAUGGUAGUUGACAUUGAGCCUUGAGCUCGCUAGUUGCUUCAACCCUUGUAGGUCGCCUAAACUUGUUAAUAUGAAUGCUGAAAAUAUGCUGAUCUGGAACUUGAGGGGGCUUAAUGCUAGAGUUAGAUAAGAUGUAGUCCGCCAAUUGGUCGCUCAGGAGUAUAUCUCACUCAUCACCUCGCAAGAAACCAAACUUGAUGUAUGUAAUGAUGCACUAAUUAGGGAGUUGCUGGGAGUCAAUUAUGACUCUUACACCUUACCAGUGUUGUACACCUGUGGUGGGAUUAUAUUGGCGUGGAGAAAAGAGGCCUGGGCAAUGUCCAACCUGCUGCUCCGUGAGAACUCGUUAACUGCUAAGGUGAAGCUAUUCUCAUCAGGUGAGGACUGGUGGCUCACCUGUGUAUACGGACCUCAAUCAGAUGGAGACAAAUUGUGCUUUCUAGCGGAGCUCCAUGAGCUCAGAGUAGGUUGCACCAGCACCUGGAUGAUAUGUGACAACUUUAACCUCAUAUACAAGGCGGAGGACAAAAACAAUUCACAGUUAGACUAUAGGAUUAUGGGUCGCUUCCAACGCCUACUAGACGAUUUGGAGUUACAAGAACUACACCUACACGGUAGGCUCUUCACGUGGAGCAAUGAACGGGCUGACCCAACUCUAGAGCGCAUUGAUAGAGUUUUCAUCUCCGAGGAUUGGGCAACAGAGUUUACUGAUCACUACUUGCGCACUGUCUCAUCACAAUGCUCUGAUCAUGCACCAUUGCUAUUGCAAACUAGCUUCCCGUUCAAUGCUUUUCGGCGGUUCUGUUUUGAGAACAUUUGGCCCAAAUACGAUGGUUACCUUCAGAACGUGGAGUAGGCAUGGACAUGCCCUUGGCUAGAUGCUGACGUUUUUCGCACACUGGAUUACAAGCUUCAAAACACCGACUUUAGCAAGCCAUUGCGAAAGAAUUAGUAUACAGGUUUGAUAUAGCUCAAGACCACAGACCACUCGCACCUCAUGAACGUACUCUUUGAAACAAAAUGAAGAUGAAAUGCCUAGGCUUAGCAUCUAUGUUGAGAACAAUUAUGAGACAGAGAUCUUGGGUUACCUACCUUGCGGAAGGUGAUGCAAACACUAAAUUUUUUCACCUGCAAGCAUGCAACGAAAAUCGGAAGAACCACAUUCAAGCAUUGACAGUAGGUGAUCUGGAGGUUGUUCAUGAGGAGGCUAAGGCAGAUGUGGUUUUCCAACAUUUUAAUGCUUUGCUUGGGGCUCCGACCUCGCCAACAGUUUCAUUAGACUUCCAGCGCUUGGGCAUCGUGUCGAUCAACAUGGAGUUAACUGAUUGUUGUUUCUCCAAGGAAGAAGUGUGGAAAACCAUACAUCUCCCACUUGACAAGGCACCGAGCCCUGACGGGUUCACUGGCCUAUUUUACAGAACGGCCUGGCCGAUCAUCAAGCAUGAUAUCAUGCGUGCAUUUUAUGCCCUUUGGACUCUAGAUGGUCGCAACAUGCAUCUGAUUAACCAGGCUUUCAUGGUCCUUCUACGCAAAAAACCUGAUGCCCAGCAUAUUGCUGACUACUGGCCUAUUAGCCUCAUACAUAGCUUCUCCAAGCUUUUCACUAAGGUACUGGCCAACAGGCUCGCGCCUCAACUAAAGGAUUUGGUGGGUCACAACCAAAGUGCAUUCAUCAAAGGUCGUCUUUUACAUGACAUUUUCGUGCAGUCGAUCUCUCCACAAAAUUGCUUCACCGCCGCAAGACACCAUCUGUUGACAAAGAUUUAAUCUCAAAAGCCUUUGACUCGGUGAAUUGGACCUGCCUGUUAAAAAUGCUACGGCAUAUGGGCUUCACUAGACGUUGGACCAACUAGAUUAGCUUAAUUUUGUCGACAACGAGUACAAAGAUCAUUGUGAACGGAGUUCCAGGAAGGAGAAUAUGCCAUGCAAGGGGCCUCCGGCAAGGUGAUCCUUUGUCACCGAUGUUGUUUGUGCUAGCAAUGGAAAGUUUAAAUUCCAUGAUUACAUUGGCAGAUAACGAAGGACUUCUGACACCACUUGGGAGCAAUGCCAUACAAGAACGCACAUACCUAUAUGUUGAUGAUGUUGUGCUAUUCCUCUCUCCCAAGCAGUAGGAUCUGAUUGUUACAAGGGCCAUACUAUAGGUUUUCGGUCGUGCUUCAGGCCUUUAUACUAACAUGGACAAGUGUGCUAUAUCACCGAUUCAAUGCGGCCUCUUGGAGAUGGUUACUCUGAUUAGUUGCUUUCCAGGACGUUUACAAGCAUUUCCUUCCUAAUACCUGGGGAUCCCAGUCUCCACCAACAAAUUGACAAGGAAUGACUUGUUACCUUUGGUAGACAAGAUUAAUGCCGGAUUGCCAACAUGGAUGGCAGACUGCUGAGCAAAGCUGGUCGCAUGGUUCUGGUUAAAGUGAAAAUGUCAGCGAGUCCGAUCCACACAGCAAUUGCAGUAUCCCUUUUACCAUGGGUCAUCAAAAAUAUGGACAAGCGUAGAUGUGCGUUCCUUUGGAGAGGAACAUAGAUGGUCUUAGGAGGACAUUGCCUGCUGGCCUGGCCGAUGGUUUGUAGACCACCUGAUCUAGGUGGGCUAGGAAUCACAAACCUUGAAAUCAUGGAUUAUGCACUCCGAAUGCGUUGGCUGUGGCUCAAAAGAACAGAUACAUCAUGUUCAUGGUUUUUCCUACCUGAUAAAGUGGAAGCUUCAGUAGCUGAAUUGUUCUACUACUCCAUGUCAGCUCGGAUUGGAGAUGGCAAGCAAACUUUGUUCUGGACAGAUAGAUGGAUUGAGGGACGAUCUAUUGCAGAGAUUGCUCCAUGCCUAAUUCAGACAAUUGGCCCACGUAUAUGAAAGAAACGAACAGUUUAUGAGGCUCUACAACACAGGAGGUGGGUGAAGGAUAUUUCUGGGGCACUCAUGGUACAAGUACUUGUUGACUACCGAAACAUCUGGGACAAGUUGGAAACGGUGACACUCGAUAAUGGGUCUCAAGAUAGAAUGCUUUGGCUGUGGACUAGUGAUCAAUGUUUCACAACAUCGAGUGCUUAUAGAGCCUUCUUCAUUGGCCAACACAGGAUACUAGGAGCAAAGAAACUAUGGAAGACACGAGCUCUUGGAAAGUGCAAGUUCUUUCUGUGGCUUGCACUUCACGGUCGCUGCUGGACGGCAGCAAGGCCAAAGAAGCAUAAUCUUCAAGAUGAUGAUAGCUGCUGCUUAUGUGGUCAAGAACCAGAAACCAUAAAUCAUCUGCUAAUAAGGUGUUCUUUUACGAAGCAAAUUUGGCACCAAUGUCUUUCACGAGUUACUUGGCAGGUCCUGUCUCCAUCAUCCAUUGAACAAACACUAGCCACCUGGUGGACGAAAUCAAGGAAACAUGUGGACAAGGCUGACAGGAAAACAUUCGAUUCGAUGGUUACACUGGUUGCUUGGUUCAUCUGGUUGGAACGCAACGCUCGCACCUUCAACAGAACAGAGAGGAAUGUGGUGCAGUUGGUGCAGGCGAUCACCGAAGAAGCUUCAGUAUGGGUUGCUGCUCAUUUUAGUUGCCUAGCUCCUUUUGUUAUGUCUGGUCUGAAUGCUGAUGCUGCUCUAGGUUGCAUUAUGGUGCACAUGUAAUAGGAGCUAGUCUUGAACUGCUCAGCAGGUCAUCAUCUCUAGAUGACACUGUGUAAUACUGUUUUCCCUUCUUCUUUUCCUCUUAAUGAAAUACGUGCUAAGGCACGGUCGCGAAAAAAAAAAUACCUGCAUAAAACCAGUGACAAUGUAACUGCUAUCUAAUGACAACAGAUGAAUGCAAUAUGAAUAGAAACUUACAGAUAAUAUGAAGGUCUUCGAUAAAGGAGAAGCGUCAAAGAAAGAAACCAGAGAAAAGUAAUCAUAGGCCGGGGAAAAGGCCAACCCAGUCGCGAAGAAACAAACAUGCAAGUACUUGAGAUGGAGGAAUUUGCUUGGUACCAUUGGUGUGUUUUCAAUCUGCACAAGAGAUGCCUCAGAUUAAUUAUAUCCCAGGUACUGUUAUACUGUUAUAGGCAUACCAGUGUUCGUAAUCAUCUAAAGUUUCAGAUUGUACCUCACUAGCAACGGGUUCAAUGUUUGACUGAUACAUUCUGUUAUAGGCAUACCAGGUGAAUGUAUGGUAAGUGCUUCAACAUUUGGCCACAUGGACAGAAGCUUGGUACGAGCAUAAGAGACAAUGUUUGACUGAUACAUACACGACAUUUCUACGUUCUUCACUAGCAACGGGUUCGCAAAUGAGAUCCGUACAAGAAGACCAUCGAAGUGAACAGUGGAUAGAUUUGGAGCAUAGCUCUCUACCCUGCUGCAUCCGAGCACCUGCAAGCUGUUGAGCCGCUGCAGCAGACAAGGUAUAGUCACGCGAAUUAUCCAAAGCGAAGGAUUUGGAAAGGAGGAGUUCUAACUCAUUCCCGGUAAUCCACACAUAACACAAGUGCAACUGCGUCAAUCUUCUCAUACAACCAAGAUCAACUGGCACGAUGCUGAUUGCGACUGAGUUUAUAGUGUUGUUUUAUUUUCCUGACUCAAUUUUUACCUCAUUUUAUUUUUGAUCCUUUGUAUUUAUCCAGUCUGGAUUCCUUCUUUUUAAUAUAAUCGGCAGCUCUCCUGCUAGGUUCGUUUAAAAAAAAACUGUGGGGCGGAAGGUGCAGUCGGUGAGGUUAUGAUAUUGAACUGAGUUUAAUUUCCACCUCUGCCAAAUAAAAGUGAGCAGGGGAAGUUGUAUCUUGCCUGGUGAGUUCUUCAAUC